ensembl:lncRNA
GACCAAUCAGAUUUCCCUCCUAAUUCUUGUUGAUCCAAUCAGCAUCUCUGCCCUUGGUAUUUAAAAAUGGGACACUGUGAUACCAUUCAGGUACUUAAUGGGCUGAAGUUGAGAUCUUGGUGCAGUUCCAGGCUGGGGUGGCCAUUUCCCCUUGUGUUCAGAGAAGCAAAGUCAGUCUGCAGAAAGAGAAGUCUGGAAUAGAUACGCAAUGGGUAGAGGCUAGGAACCCCAGAAUCACAGAGACAUGGUGCAGUGAGUGCUGCAGGUACUAACCAGCUAACCAGACACUGAGGAGCAGGCAUGGGCUUCUUAGUCAUGGCCAUGCACAGCCUUCCUCUACCACAUAGGCUGAAUGCUAAAUGCCUCGUUUUUCCUGCCUCCCUUGCAGCUGGGACAGGCCAUGUUGUACAGAUCAGGCUGCUGACACAUAAGUAAAAGCCCUGGGAGAGCUUCCCUUCUGGAAUAAGAGGUGAGGUUCACUAGGAGGACAAUUCCCACCCUUUGUCCUUUUGCCUGGUCUUUUUUUCACUCCUGGAGCUCAGACUGAGAGCAAGAACAGCUGCUUUGGCCAAGCAAGGCGCCAAGCAAGAGGCCAAAGCCCAGCUGCCACAGAUGAUGGAGUAAAAGGACAAGAGGACUUGGGUGGGGCCCGGUGGCAUCUCUGAGCUCCAGAACCUAAACUUCUUACAGAGGACAAAUAAGUCCCUCCCCAUGUAAGCCACCGUUGCUUGGUAUGUUUGUGCUGGGGAACAAAUUGCCCAAAUCUUCAUGACUGAAAAUAGCAGAUAUUAUUUCUCAUGAUUCCAUGGGUACAGCUGUGCACUUUUACUCUCUUGGCUGACAUGGCUGGGGCUGGGUGAUUUAGGGUGGCCUCACUUCCUGCCACCCUAGGAGACAUUUGACAGUAUCUGGACAUCAUUUUGAUUGUCACAAUGCAGACAGGAGGAUUCUACUAUCAUCUCACAGGUAGAGGGCCAGAAUCCUGCUAAACGUCCUACAAUGCAUAGAACAGCUCCCAAGAACAGAGGAUCAUUUCAUCUUAAAUGUCAGCGUCUGCAAGUUUGAGAAACUGCCCUACAGAGGCCUUGACGGGACACGCUUCUCUCAGCUCAGCACACUCUUAUCACCCAGCAGGCCAGACCAGGCUUGUCCACAUGGUGGUGUCACAGGUCCGAGAGCAAGCCUGGUGCUCUGGCACUUUUCAAGUCUCUACCUGCCUUGCGUGCGUUAAUUUCCCACCCUGACAAAGACAGAGACAGAUUUUUACCAUUUGCCCACAUUGGGCUUCUGUUAUUUGAAGCUUUAUAUAAUCCCAACUGAAGCAGAAGGAGAAAGUGAUGUUGACUGCCAGUGACAUCCUGGUUCCUAGUGCCUCUCCUUGUGAAGUCUGGAUCUCUGUUAUUUGCAACCAAACUGGCCUUUACAAAGACACUUUCCUGCUGUCCCCACGGAGGCCGGGUCUGAGAAGCUACAGGCAACCUUUCCUUGGGGAGUUAUGCUGAUAGAAUACCUGCAGUCCCUGCAAACCCCCAGUCCACCUGCACCUCUAAGAAGCUACAAGAACUUCCUUCUGCCCUUGCCAAUGGCAGCUAUGUGGAUUCUUGGAAUCGUGACUUUGCAGAUAAGGCCGGCUAUGACAUGCCGAAACAUAACUCCAUUUUGCCUCCAGUCACAGCUGAGACCUCAAUGGUCCAGUGAUGCUGUGAUACUCCAGGGCAAGAUUACACCAGCUGAAGACAUCCUGGUUCCUUGAAAACUGAGUAGUAAGAGAAAGAUUUCACCUGGGGAGGACAAAUUCCUUAUCAGCUUAACUCAUCCCACCUACUGUUGUAAGAACAUCUUUGCUCAUCUUACUGUCCUAAUCAACAUAAGCUCCUCAUGGACCUAAGAUCCUCAUCAGUUUAAAAUCCUCAUAGUCAUAGGAUUACUGCUGCCCUCUAAGACAUCUGAUACUCCCUCAGAUUAUAAAAAUCCUUGUCAAUUUAGGAUUAUCACCACCUUCUGCAUCUGUUACUCCUUAUGAAUUCAAUAAAUAGUGGCAAGCUCAGGGUGCUUUGCUGCCCAGAGCAGCACUGAUCAGCCCUAAGACCCAGCUUUUUCUCUAAGUCUCAUUUCCU